GGCUACCUUGUUACGACUUCACCCCAGUCAUGAAUCACAAAGUGGUAAGCGCCCUCCCGAAGGUUAAGCUACCUACUUCUUUUGCAACCCACUCCCAUGGUGUGACGGGCGGUGUGUACAAGGCCCGGGAACGUAUUCACCGUGGCAUUCUGAUCCACGAUUACUAGCGAUUCCGACUUCAUGGAGUCGAGUUGCAGACUCCAAUCCGGACUACGACGCACUUUAUGAGGUCCGCUUGCUCUCGCGAGGUCGCUUCUCUUUGUAUGCGCCAUUGUAGCACGUGUGUAGCCCUGGUCGUAAGGGCCAUGAUGACUUGACGUCAUCCCCACCUUCCUCCAGUUUAUCACUGGCAGUCUCCUUUGAGUUCCCGACCUAAUCGCUGGCAACAAAGGAUAAGGGUUGCGCUCGUUGCGGGACUUAACCCAACAUUUCACAACACGAGCUGACGACAGCCAUGCAGCACCUGUCUCACAGUUCCCGAAGGCACCAAUCCAUCUCUGGAAAGUUCUGUGGAUGUCAAGACCAGGUAAGGUUCUUCGCGUUGCAUCGAAUUAAACCACAUGCUCCACCGCUUGUGCGGGCCCCCGUCAAUUCAUUUGAGUUUUAACCUUGCGGCCGUACUCCCCAGGCGGUCUACUUAACGCGUUAGCUCCGGAAGCCACGCCUCAAGGGCACAACCUCCAAGUAGACAUCGUUUACGGCGUGGACUACCAGGGUAUCUAAUCCUGUUUGCUCCCCACGCUUUCGCACCUGAGCGUCAGUCUUUGUCCAGGGGGCCGCCUUCGCCACCGGUAUUCCUCCAGAUCUCUACGCAUUUCACCGCUACACCUGGAAUUCUACCCCCCUCUACAAGACUCAAGCCUGCCAGUUUCGAAUGCAGUUCCCAGGUUGAGCCCGGGGAUUUCACAUCCGACUUGACAGACCGCCUGCGUGCGCUUUACGCCCAGUAAUUCCGAUUAACGCUUGCACCCUCCGUAUUACCGCGGCUGCUGGCACGGAGUUAGCCGGUGCUUCUUCUGCGGGUAACGUCAAUUGCUGCGGUUAUUAACCGCAACACCUUCCUCCCCGCUGAAAGUACUUUACAACCCGAAGGCCUUCUUCAUACACGCGGCAUGGCUGCAUCAGGCUUGCGCCCAUUGUGCAAUAUUCCCCACUGCUGCCUCCCGUAGGAGUCUGGACCGUGUCUCAGUUCCAGUGUGGCUGGUCAUCCUCUCAGACCAGCUAGGGAUCGUCGCCUUGGUGAGCCGUUACCUCACCAACAAGCUAAUCCCAUCUGGGCACAUCUGAUGGCAAGAGGCCCGAAGGUCCCCCUCUUUGGUCUUGCGACGUUAUGCGGUAUUAGCCACCGUUUCCAGUAGUUAUCCCCCUCCAUCAGGCAGUUUCCCAGACAUUACUCACCCGUCCGCCACUCGUCAGCAAAGCAGCAAGCUGCUUCCUGUUACCGUUCGACUUGCAUGUGUUAGGCCUGCCGCCAGCGUUCAAUCUGAGCCAGGAUCAAACUCU
rnacentral:rRNA from 1 species